UACAGAGGUCUCGAGCGUUGUUCGGAUUCAUUGGGCGUAAAGCGCACGUAGGCGGCUUUUUAAGUCGGGGGUGAAAUCCUGGAGCUCAACUCCAGAACUGCCUUUGAUACUGAGGAUCUUGAGUUCGGGAGAGGUGAGUGGAACUGCGAGUGUAGAGGUGAAAUUCGUAGAUAUUCGCAAGAACACCAGUGGCGAAGGCGGCUCACUGGCCCAUAACUGACGCUGAGGCACGAAAGCGUGGGAGCAAACAGG
rnacentral:rRNA from 1 species